rnacentral:rRNA from 1 species
UACAGAGGUCCCGAGCGUUGUUCGGAUUCACUGGGCGUAAAGGGUGCGUAGGUGGUGAGGUAAGUCGGAUGUGAAAUCUCCGAGCUCAACUCGGAAAUGGCAUUGGAAACUACCUUGCUCGAGGAAUGGAGGGGAGACUGGAAUACUUGGUGUAGCAGUGAAAUGCGUAGAUAUCAAGUGGAACACCAGUGGCGAAGGCGAGUCUCUGGACAUUUCCUGACGCUGAGGAGCGAAAGCAUGGGGAGCGAACAGG